ACAGAGGAUCUCUGGCUUCCCUGCUCCAAGAUGUAGUGAUUAAACUCCAUUCCUCUGGCUCAUGUGCAAUUUCGGCACAUUUCCAAAGAAAAGAGGAAUGGAUGUGGUUGGAUGGACGGGGUUACUCAUUAACCACUGGGCUUAUACUGCUGUGAAGGGGGAAAAGAGAGAAACAUCCCCUGUCGUGCCUCUUGGUUUAGCGGUAGCCGCCGGGCAACGCUUCCUCUCCGGUGCACCCACGGUCACAGGUGUGGCCACCGACACCGUCAGGCCAGCGCCUGCACGUCAGAGAUUCGUGCGAGCCGCGCACAACAGCAAGCGCAUAUGCACUGCCAGUGUCCCUUUCUGGAUCUGGUGUUCCCGUGACACGCGAUACGGGCUGUCCAGUGGCAGGGCUGUUCACGUUUCAGGUCUGAGCUCCGAUAGCACCUUCCAAAUAAGGAAGACGAUACAGGGUGCGCGUUGUGAAGGCAGGCGUUGAGUUUCAAUCCACGAGGAAGAACGUAUGGGAUCUCUGGUGUCACGUUUGCCUUGGCAUCCCUUCCCUUCCGGAAACUUCAGACACUCAGGGACCUGUGCGGUAAUCUCUACACCCAACAAGGGGCUCAGACUUACACUCCCAACAUCAAGAGUUGUAUGCUCUACACAUCGAGCCAGUCACCAUAAUUGCUUUCCAGCAGGAGCGAAAACACCCCUGUUGGUGAUGAGUGACGUCUCCUGGGCAUCCAUACAACUCAUCGUCAUCGAAGAAGUGGAGAUCCAGUUUCUACCUUGCCCCCCUGUGGAUUGGGCUGGUGGGAAUCAUUUUCUCCAAACCAAUCAGUGUUGGGCUUACAUAUAGGCAGAAACUUCCACUUGAGGGUUGAUGAUAAGGCCCCAGACUGAGAUGAAGAGGAGUCUACAGCGGGCAAGGAACCCGGCCGCACAGCUGGCCAUCCACGUCCUUCCUGCCGAUCCUACCCCUGUGCCCCGGCUAGGCCUCCUUGUGAUACCGGGAGUAUGGAGGUGGCGCCCUGCCCCCACCGCUCCUGUAGACCCCACGACCCCCAUACGGGUGUCCUUGCUGGGCCUCUACAAUCAGAACGCUGAACCCCCGGGGAGGGUAAGAAGUGCAGGCAAACCUUAGAAGGGCUGCUGUAUGUGACAGGUAGUAGUUCAGUUCGUUUCCCAGACUAUCGGGUGACGCUGUGUCAUUGGAUGGGAUGUCGUUUCUCUAAACAGCAGCAUGUGGGAAAAUUUACUUUGGAUUUUGUUCUGCUUGGACCGUGAUCCGUAACCAUUUUCUGCACCAGCCUGAAACUGGCAGCUCGGGAGGCUUUGCUGUCCAAGUUCCCGCACUCGACCUGCCAGACAGGUUUCCCUGGGCUGGGGGAGUCUGACAAAGACAGCCUUCAUCCGUCACCUACAGCAGUUCCACUUAACCACUGUUCAUUUCGGUAUGACCGCUUCUUGGCAAGAAUCCAGGAUUCCCUAAUUGAAUGAAAACUCUGUUUAUGAGGUUUCCCAAAUGUAUCGCAUUUAUAAAAAUUAAAACAAAUUGUAUUUGAGUCACAAAUAUGAGCCUCAAUUUGACCACAAAGGAUAUAGCUAUUAAAAAAAAAAAAAAGAAAAGAAACCCCUCCCCCACCAAAAAGAAAGAAAUCUAGAGGGAA